ACAACCCUUUUUGACCAAACAUUUCCAGUUAAUGAUGUUACAUUCCCUCAAAAGCAUGAACAUAUUACAAUAGUUCCAUUCUCUCAUUCUCAUCUUAAAUAAGGAUGGCAGAUCAAAUUUGGUUAUUUGUUCUGUAAUCAUAAAGAUGUAAGAUUAGGUCAUGUGACUGGAUCUGAUGUCAAAUUCAUCAUAAUGUGGCUCAGAGAGGAGGGACUCAGUGUUCAUAUGAUCUCGUAUCUGACAGAGACUGAGGUUGAAUCGAUUCUUCUCAGAGUGAACACAUGUACAAUGGAUCUUCAUUCAGUCAUUCUGUUCUGUGCCUUAUCUGCUUCUGUCUUUGGGAAUGUCAUUAAACCAAACAAAACAGAUGUUUCUGCUGAGGAAGGUUCAAAUGUUACAUUAUCCUGUAAUUUCACUGCAUCUGGAGGUUCAGAUAAUCUCCACUGGUACCGUCAGAACGGAAGAUCAAAACCUGAAUUUAUAGUACUCACCUACAGCAAUAAAAAAGAUGCUCGGCUGUCUGAUGUAGAUUCAAGAUUCUCUGUAAAUAUUCCAAAAAGUGAACGUGUGGAUCUGAUCAUCUCCUCUGCUGCUGUAUCAGACUCUGCUCUGUACUACUGUGCUCUGCAGCCCACAGUGACAGGAAACACAAGAACACUGUACAAAAACCUGUUACAAUGA